rnacentral:rRNA from 1 species
AUUGAACGCUGGCGGCAGGCCUAACACAUGCAAGUCGAGCGGAUGAAGGUAGCUUGCUCCUGGAUUCAGCGGCGGACGGGUGAGUAAUGCCUAGGAAUCUGCCUGGUAGUGGGGGAUAACGUCCGGAAACGGGCGCUAAUACCGCAUACGUCCUGAGGGAGAAAGUGGGGGAUCUUCGGACCUCACGCUAUCAGAUGAGCCUAGGUCGGAUUAGCUAGUUGGUGGGGUAAAGGCCUACCAAGGCGACGAUCCGUAACUGGUCUAAGAGGAUGAUCAGUCACACUGGAACUGAGACACGGUCCAGACUCCUACGGGAGGCAGCAGUGGGGAAUAUUGGACAAUGGGCGAAAGCCUGAUCCAGCCAUGCCGCGUGUGUGAAGAAGGUCUUCGGAUUGUAAAGCACUUUAAGUUGGGAGGAAGGGCAGUAAGUUAAUACCUUGCUGUUUUGACGUUACCAACAGAAUAAGCACCGGCUAACUUCGUG